GUGGGGAAUAUUGGACAAUGGGCGAAAGCCUGAUCCAGCCAUGCCGCGUGAGUGAUGAAGGCCUUAGGGUUGUAAAGCUUUUUCAGUAGGGAAGAUAAUGACGGUACCUACAGAAGAAGCCCCGGCUAACUUCGUGCCAGCAGCCGCGGUAAUACGAAGGGGGCUAGCGUUGUUCGGAUUUACUGGGCGUAAAGCGCACGUAGGCGGAUUGGUCAGUUAGAGGUGAAAUCCUGGAGCUCAACUCCAGAACUGCCUUUAAUACUGCCAGUCUAGAGUCCAGAAGAGGUGAGUGGAACUCCUAGUGUAGAGGUGGAAUUCGUAGAUAUUAGGAAGAACACCAGUGGCGAAGGCGGCUCACUGGUCUGGUACUGACGCUGAGGUGCGAAAGCGUGGGGAGCAAACAGGAUUAGAUACCCGGGUAGUCC
rnacentral:rRNA from 1 species